rnacentral:SRP_RNA from 1 species
AUAUGCUCGCCACGAUCAAAUCGACCAAUGCUACACUGCAGCUCGCUUUCCCUCACAGGAGACCAGACGGGACAAUCGAAGUUAUUCAUGCGUACCGCGCGCAG